GUGGUUGUGGCUCAGUGGCAGAGCGCUUGCCUAGCACAUGUGAGGCCCUGGGUUCAAUCCCCAGCACCACA
rnacentral:tRNA from 1 species